rnacentral:rRNA from 1 species
AGUGCCUGAAGUCAAGCAAGAUUACCCGCUGAACUUAAGCAUAUUACUAAGCGGAGGAAAAGAAACUAACCAGGAUUGCCUUAGUAACGGCGAGUGAACCGGCAUCAGCCCAGACUGGAAAUCGCUUCGGCGAGUUGUACAGUUGAGACAUAGACCUUACACAGCGGAGCAGGUGUAACUCAGUUGGAACGCUGGACCGUAGAGGGUGAUAGUCCCGUGCCACUUGUUCCAAGUGAGAGGUCCGUGUUCCACGAGUCGGGUAGCUUGGGAUUGCUGCCCAAAGUGGGAGGUAGACUUCUUCUAAGGCUAAAUACUCACAAGAGACCGAUAGCGAACAAGUACUGUGAAGGAAAU